UGGAGAGUUUGAUCCUGGCUCAGGACGAACGCUGGCGGCGUGCUUAACACAUGCAAGUCGAACGGAAAGGCCCCUUCGGGGGUACUCGAGUGGCGAACGGGUGAGUAACACGUGGGUAAUCUGCCCUGCACUUCGGGAUAAGCCUGGGAAACUGGGUCUAAUACCGGAUAGGACCUCGAGGCGCAUGCCUUGUGGUGGAAAGCUUUUGCGGUGUGGGAUGGGCCCGCGGCCUAUCAGCUUGUUGGUGGGGUGACGGCCUACCAAGGCGACGACGGGUAGCCGGCCUGAGAGGGUGUCCGGCCACACUGGGACUGAGAUACGGCCCAGACUCCUACGGGAGGCAGCAGUGGGGAAUAUUGCACAAUGGGCGCAAGCCUGAUGCAGCGACGCCGCGUGGGGGAUGACGGCCUUCGGGUUGUAAACCUCUUUCAGCAGGGACGAAGCGCAAGUGACGGUACCUGCAGAAGAAGCACCGGCCAACUACGUGCCAGCAGCCGCGGUAUC
rnacentral:rRNA from 1 species